GGCACCAUAGCCAAGUGGCAAGGCAGAGGUCUGCAAAACCUUUAUCUCCAGUUCGAAUCUGGAUGGUGCCUCCA
rnacentral:tRNA from 1 species